rnacentral:lncRNA from 1 species
CAGUGCUCUUAACCUCUGAGCCAUUUCUCCAGCCCCAAGAAGCUCUAGUUUUAAAUUUUUCAAAUAUGGCCCCUUCUACUUCAAGUCAUUGUUACAACCUUUGCCCAUGCCAAUGCCAUCUCAGCUAGAUUCUUGCAAUAGCAGCCUGACUGGCUCUUCGUUCCCAUUCAUGACCCUUCUCCCUAAGUCCAAGGCAGAGUGCCAUCAUUCACCUACAAAUCCUUACGCCAGCUGACCCCUGAUGUCUCUUGGCUUCUCACUCCCAGCUGCUUACACCUCAUUCUUCCUCUGGUCAUUCUAUAUUUUGCAUAGGUUACUAAAUAAUACAUGUGAAGGAUAAGUGGUAAAUACUAUAUUAUUACCCUCCUCUAGACUAUCAGUGCCACAAGGCAAAUAGAUAUGAGUUCUGUGUUUAGAGGCAGGCAGAUCUCUGAGUUCGAGGCCAGCCUGGUCUACAGAGUGAGUUCCGGGACCACCAGGGCUACACAGAGAAACCCUGUCUUGGGGUGUGGGGGCAGAAACAUUGUAUCAUGCCUACCUGUUGUAAAUAUAUCUGGGGAGAUUCACCCAAAUGUAGUGUUAAAGAGGAGAUAUUGGGAAGUGGUAGAGGGCACUUUCCAUUAUAUAAUUUUGUGUUCUCUGAAUUUUUUUUAUAAAACACAUCCAUGUAUUACCUAUGUGUUUUGUUUUGUUUUUUGUUUGUUGGUUUUUUUGUUUUUUGUUUUUCCGAGACAGGAUUUCUCUGUGGCUUUGGAGGCUGUCCUGGAACUAGCUCCUGGGAUUAAAGGCGUGGGCCACCAACACCCGGCUACCUAUGUGUUUUUAAUUACACAUAGAAAAACCUUAUGAAGAAUGCUAUGCAGAGGUUCAGGCUUGGAAGCUCACACCUGUAAUCGCAACAUUCUAGAGGCUGAAGCAGAAGUGGCAAGUUACAAAGCCAGCCUUGACUACAUGGGUCUUAUGUGAAAGAGCUGUCUAAAGACCUAAAAGAAAACAAGAAGCCUGGCUGUGGUGGUGCACGCCUCUAAUCCCAGCACUGGGGAGACAGAGGCAGGGAGAUCUCUGUGAGUUCAAAUCCAGCCUGGUCUACAAAGGAGCUGCCACUACCUCACCUAGAUCAAUGGAAGAGAAUCAUCUAGGCCACUUUUGAGUCAGCUGUGUGCCCCAGACCAAGGAGGCAGGGAAGCUUGAUGACACAUAGGAUCCAAAUCUUCAAAAGCAAAAGAAAGACAAUGGAUGGGCAGAAAAGCACCGAUUACUG